UCCGAUAUGGUGUAGUGGCCAACAUGAUGCCCUCUCAUCUUACGAGAGGUUAGGCAUAGCCCCGAGUUCGAUUCUCGGUUUCGGAA